rnacentral:rRNA from 1 species
UUAGUUUGAUCAUGGCUCAGGACGAACGCUGGCGGCGUGCUUAAUACAUGCAAGUCGAGCGAGGUUACUGUUUUGGAUCCCUUCGGGGUGAAGAAGCUUUAACCUAGCGGCGGACGGGUGAGUAACGCGUGGGUAACCUACCCCAAAGUCCGGGAUAACAGCGGGAAACCGCUGCUAAUACCGGAUGCCUUUACCUUGGGGCAUCUUGAGGUAAAGAAAGGUAACGCUUUGGGAUGGGCCCGCGUCCCAUUAGCUAGUUGGUGAGGUAACGGCUCACCAAGGCGACGAUGGGUAGCCGGCCUGAGAGGGUGGACGGCCACACUGGGACUGAGACACGGCCCAGACUCCUACGGGAGGCAGCAGUAGGGAAUAUUGCGCAAUGGACGGAAGUCUGACGCAGCGACGCCGCGUGAGCGAUGAAGGUCUUCGGAUCGUAAAGCUCUGUCCUUGGGGAAGAAGGUCUUCGGACUUGACGGUACCCAAGAAGAAAGCCCCGGCUAACUACGUGCCAGCAGCCGCGGUAAU